rnacentral:rRNA from 1 species
CAGCGCCGCGGUAAUACAGAGGGUGCGAGCGUUAAUCGGAUUUACUGGGCGUAAAGCGUGCGUAGGCGGCUAAUUGAGUCGGAUGUGAAAUCCCCGAGCUUAACUUGGGAAUUGCAUUCGAUACUGGUUAGCUAGAGUGUGGGAGAGGAUGGUAGAAUUCCAGGUGUAGCGGUGAAAUGCGUAGAGAUCUGGAGGAAUACCGAUGGCGAAGGCAGCCAUCUGGCCUAACACUGACGCUGAGGUACGAAAGCAUGGGGAGCAAACAGGAUUAGAUACCCGGGUAGUCCCUGUCUCUUAUACA